ACUAAUUCAAAGCAAGUAAUAACUGAUGGUGUAUCAACUUUUGAAAUAAGGGCUCGAGGGUAAGACUAAAAUGAUAGAUGUUGAAAUUAUCCUAUUAGCAUGUACAUUGAUGCAAAAGGGGCUAGUAAACUUCUCUUUCUAUAUUAAGUUUUAAAUAGUUCUGAAGAUCAUCCCAAAAAUUGUAUCAGAAACUUCAGUUUCCAGAUACUCAAAACUUGGAUAUUGGUAGUUAAAGCACUUUAUAUGCAGUCUUCAACACUCUUAAGUCCUUCUGCCAGCCAGGUUUUUUUUCUAAAGUAUUUUACUCUGUACCUGCAGAUAUUCUACCAAAAGCGUAUAUAACUAUAUUUUUGUAGAGUAUUUUCUGGUUCUUCUCUACUGCAGUAUUCACAUUCUGUAGGCUAUAUAUAUUGUUUCUCCUCUCGAAGUGAAAACAAAAAGUCUGAUGAGGGAAUUUCUUCCUCCUGUAUUGCUGGAGGCAUGAAAUGCUAAUAUAGGUGAGGAAAAGUUUGGAUAUCUGAAAAAGUUGGAUAAUGGAGUAUCCAUUUAAGUUCAUUCUGGAAUUUAUCUACAUAUUAUAAAAGCCUGUGAUUUAGGUGAGAAGUUGGGCUAGCUCCUAGCUUAGUAAUACAAUACUGUGUCCCCAAUCCAAGUGCUCUUUGUACAUAGUUGUACAUUAUGAGCCUACAGCUUAGCAUGUGUGCUUGCAGAGAGAUUGCUGGCACUGAUCAUGGUGAAUUCCUCCCCCUCCCCUUUUACCUCAUAGAGUAGCCUUUGGAAGGCCUGAUCCAGCAGACAACCCACAGGCAGGAAGUUUCCAUCUGCCUGUCACAUCACCCUUGCUGGACUUGGAUGCAAUACUUUUAUUUGAAUGUUAGAAAUAGUGAUUUUAAAUUUAUAGUAGGAAGUGGACUACCUUUAAUGUCCCAUGGAGUUUAUAGAAAACUUUCUGCUAGGUUUUAAAACAAGUGUUUUCAGGAGUUCAUAAACAUGUGACUCAUUGGAUACUUGAGGACAUUAACUGUUUCUUAGGUAGGCUCUCUUGUUAAAUGUUUUCUAACAUCAGAGAAAUGGAUGUCUAUGUUGAGUCACAAAUAUAGGAGGCAAAAAUAAUUCUGUGAAUUGGCUUUUGAAAUUGCUUUUGGUUGAAAAGUCACAAUGCACAGUAUGCUUCCUGAAUGUUUGGUAGCUGUUUUAAUCUUAAAAGGGAACAAAGUUAAAAGCCUCUACAUUAGUGCUUAAGUGAUCUCUCUGAAUAAUAGAAUUGCUGUAAAGCAGACCAGCCCCCACCCAUCAUUAUUUGAUGAAACUUUCUCUGUUUAUGGUUUUUUAAAAAGAGGUUCUCUUUAACUAUUCGGCCCAUUGUGUUUGAAGUGUGAUGCUCGUGAUGUCUGGAUAUACGGCAAAGGUAUAGGGCUAAAAGGUUUUCCUCUGUGAAAAACUGGUUGGCACCUACCUGAAACGUAGAUCUAUGAAGUUUGAGUGAGUCUGUGAGGUUGGGUUUUAGGACCCACCAGUGCAGCAAAGGCAAGACAAAUGUCUUAGGAAGGGGGCGGAGCUCCCAGCAUUCCUCAGUCUAUGGACUCACGAAGUGGAAAGCAGGCACUAAAAUUCAAAUGGUUAUGAAAUAGAACAGUAACAAGGACAAACAUACAAUCGUCCCUCCCCAAAAGUAGAACCGCAACAGGAGUAAAUUUACCUUGAAAGCAAGGCUUGAUAAUUAUGCAACCAACCUAAUCCCAACAAGGUGAUACUUCCAAUCAACUCUCAAAUUUUAUUACACGCAUUGAAUAUGGGUGUGGCCCUUAACUAGCUCACUCACACAAUUGAGACCUGUGUUUCAGGCAGGUGCAAAUUGCACCCAUAGCGGGAGUGAGCCUGUCUGGUUGGGACAUAAAAUGGCUAAUCCCAAUUUGGGCAGGACCCUGACAAUUAAUCUGGGAAGAUCUGCUGAAGGACAGCCUCAACCUCAGCUGAGACAUGCUUGUCAAUUUACUAUAAAAUUGACAUACUUUUAAAUGACAUACUUGUCAAUUUUAUAGUGUUUGACAAAAGGUUUUGGGGGCUAUGCUCGUAGCUGCUUUACAGAUAUCCUCUAAAGGAGCAUUGGUGGAAAGGCUGCAGCCCUUGUGGAAUACGUUGCCACAUUUUUUGGUAUUGGAAUCUUUUGAAUUUUGUAUGCAAAGACAAUGCAAGCCUUAGUCCACCUAGCAAGGAUGGAUGUGGAAACCCUGUGCCCCAGAGUGGGCAGCUGAAAGGACACAAAAAGGGAAUCGGUCUGCCUCAAAUCUCUGCUUCUUACUGCAGGUCUUUCCCUCUUCUGCCUCCUUGUCUGUUCAAAUAUGAUUUGACUGUAGCAUUGUCUAUGCACAAAAUGAUGUGAGUAAGGCAAAACUGAGGGGAGAUGUGCUGAAUCACCAGGUAGGCUGCUGUGAGUUUGAGCUAGUUGACACCCCCCACCCCAAAAUAGGCUACCUUCACAGGAGACCACAGGGCCUGAAUUGAAAGAUGUUGACAGAGACCCAGCCCAGCAGGCUGUCAUCCAAUGUGAUGAUGGCUCGAGUUGGAUCUUCCAAGGGGAGUGCCUUUACGUAGGUUGUGGCUAUUUGUCCGCCAGCAUGUGGCCAGGCAGAGAUGAUGUGGAAUCGUGAUGUGAUGCUGUCUUCCUGCUGUCACCAGUCACUGGUGAGUGCUUCUAAGGCAGUAGCACCCACUGUGAUGGCUUGGCAUGGAGCUUUGCCCAAGGUGGUGCUUGUGAUACUGAUAUGCACACCCAAAGGCAUGGGACAGCUGCGUAAUGACCACUUUUUUUUGCUGUUAAGGGACUUCUGGUGGCUGCUUUAAUUCAGAUUACUCUGUCCAGUGCACAGGGUGAAAUCUAGGCAUGUCUCAGUGGCAUCUCCAAAUUGUGCUUGACCAUCUUUCAGGUGUAAAGUGUGGCAGAGUAGAUUAGCAACAGGAAGGUACUUUCAGCAGUUCUGUAAUGUCAAGUUGUAGAACAUAAAACUUGUUAGCCAAAACAAGCAAAUUUUUUGUACUUCAGCAGAGAGUUCCACUCAUCCUUGGUCACAGAUGUAAAUGGAGCAGGAACUGGACUAUAUCUAGUCACUGGCUUUGGGUCAGGUAACUUGGUCACACCUGUGAGAGGUGCAGACAGCUCUUCAACUAGAUUUAUCAUUAUCAUUGUUUAUUUGUAUGCUGCCUAUCCAUAGUUAAAACCAUUCUCAAAGCAGUUUACAUGAAAAUAAUUACAUAACUGCAAACAUAACAAAAGUAGCCAUGAGUGAUAAAUAAAAUGUACACAACAUGAUCAAAAGAUACAAAAAAAAAAAAUCAGUACAGAGGUACCUCGGGUUACAGACGCUUCAGGUUACAUACGCUUCAGGUUACAGACUCCUCUAACCCAGAAAUAGUACCUCGGGUUAAGAACUUUGAUUCAGGAUGAGAACAGAAAUUGUGCGGCGGUGGCAGCAGCGGGAGGCCCCAUUAGCUAAAGUGGUACCUCAAGUUAAGAACUGUUUCAGGUUAAGAACGGACCUCUGGAUCGAAUUAAGUUCUUAACCAGAGGUACCACUGUAUCAAAAACAGCAAAAUCAAUAUCUCAAAAAUUAAAUCUUGACCCCCCC